rnacentral:lncRNA from 1 species
AUGAAGAACUUCCUUGACUUUUCAGUGCUGAUACAGAGUACUCGGAAAAAUCAAUACAGCUUCUCCAGGAUAUCAACUCUGCAGAUUCCUACAGAAGAGCAAGAGACAAAGAGAAAGAAUAAUAGGGCUAGACUCAGAGGAGAAAUCAUCAUUGUCCUUCAGAAUCCAACCUUAAGUGAAAAGGAGAAGCAGUCAAAUUGUAAUUUCAACUCUGUGCUGUCAGUGAGAGCUGCGAACAUGAAGCAGUUGCCAUUCUCAGUGGAACAGGAACCAAGUAGGAACUGGAGUUUCAGCACUCUCAGGCUCGUCCUGCAUUUGCUUCCUCACACGCCACUGAAAUACCAGGUCUGCCUCCCUUGACUGGUGAUGGUGCACAGUUUACAGAAGAUGGCCCUUGGAGGAGCUGCCUGCCUUUUGCAGUGACCAAACGUUUCUGCUCUUUGAGGAGGAGGCUGAUUCAAGGAACCUGCAGUCACUACAGUGUGCUCAUCAUCUUCCCUCAUGGCAUCUCCCUCCUUGAAUGUCACCUUUGCUGCCCUUGUGAGAUGUUACAUUUCAGUUGGGUAAGCAAUUUGGUUGUAACUCUAAUCAGAAAGAGGUGUCCAAGCACCAAGAUUAGGGGCUUGUGGUUGAUUUCUACCUCCCCCCCUUCCCACCUCCCC